CAAGGCGCUUCGGGAGGGGCCUGCGUCCGAUUAGCUCGUUGGUGGGGUAAUGGCUCACCAAGGCGACGAUCGGUAGGUGGUCUGAGAGGACGAUCACCCAGACUGGGACUGAGACACGGCCCAGACUCCUACGGGAGGCAGCAGUCGGGAAUUUUGCUCAAUGGGCGCAAGCCUGAAGCAGCAACGCCGCGUGGGGGAUGACGGCCUUCGGGUUGUAAACCUCUUUUCCCGGGGACGAUAAUGACGGUACUCGGGGAAUAAGUCACGGCUAACUACGUGCCAGCAGCCGCGGUAAUACGUAGGUGACGAGCGUUGUCCGGAUUUACUGGGCGUAAAGAGCGCGCGGGCGGUCGUACAAGUCGAGUGUGAAAUCCCUCGGCUCAACUGGGGAACGUCGCUCGAUACUGUUCGAC
rnacentral:rRNA from 1 species